rnacentral:rRNA from 1 species
GGGUCAGUAGGUUGGUCGUGCCACCGGUACGUACUGGUCUCACUGAUUCCUCCUUCCUGAAGAACCGUAAUGCCAUUAAUUUGGUGUUGCGGGGAAAUAGGUCUGUUACUUUGAAAAAAUUAGAGUGUUUAAAGCAAGCUAACGCUUGAAUACAUUAGCAUGGAAUAAUGAAAUAGGACGAUCGAUCCUAUUUUGUUGGUUUCUAGGAUUGACGUA